AUGCUGAGCAGCAUUUUCCUAAAGGAUGAUUUCCGUCUCAGCAGUUCCAGCACCCCUGCUGCCCGAGGGAAAGCUGCUGGCAGGGGAGGGGCCCAGCUGUCCAAUGAGCUUGUCACCUUGCUCUCUCCAUACCCAGCCUGCGUCAGUGCAUCCCUCAGACAGCAGCUGGGCAAAGUGGCAGCUCCUCCCAAACUUCCUUUGGCUCCAGUGGUAUCCGUCCUGGGCUCUGGCUCCAUACUUAGUUCAGGAAUAACUGCCAGGGACCAACAAGCUGUGGGACCACCUAGGUUUCUGUGGCAUGCAGUCAUCACUUCAUUUGUUUUACCACCCACCGGCUGUGAAGGUGGCCCCUACACAGGUAGGCUAUGCAAGCAGCCUGAAUUCUCCCUCAUCAGAGGCUUUGUCAUCGUGCAGUAUUGUGUUGAGGCGUGGCGGCACCGCUUCCUCUCGGCUCAGCUGUCUUGCGCAGGAGCCGCAGGGCCGUGUGCAGCCACGGCGCCCAGCCGGAACUGCAUGAUCUUCAAGCCCCGCUUCCACAAGCACCGGCAGCGACGCGUGGCCACGUGGUUCAACCAGCCUGCCCGGAAGAUACGUAGACGCAAGGCCCGGCAAGACAAGGCGCGCUGCAGAGCCCCGCCCCCGCGUCGGGGCCCAUCCGGCCCGCCGUGGGUUGCCACACAGUUGGGUACCACAGAAACGCUUCAGCCUGGAGGAGCUCAGGGUGGCCGACGUUCACAAAAAGGUGGCCCGGACCACUGGCAUUUCUGUGGAUCCGAGGAAGCAGAAUAAGUGCACCGAGUCCCUGCAGGCCAACGCGCAGCGGCUGAAGGAGUACCGCUCCAAAGUCGUCUUGUUCCCCAGGAAGGCCUCUGCCCCCCGGAAGGGCGGCAGUUCUGCUGAAGAACUGAAGCUUGCCACGCAGCUGACGGGACCGGUCAUGCGCAUCCAGAGUGUCUGUAAGAAGGAGAAAGCACGAGUCAUCACUCAGGACGACAAGAAUCGCAAAGCCUUCACUAGUCUCCGCAUGGCCCGUGCCAACGCCCGGCUCUUCGCAUUCGAGCAAAAAGAGCCGGAAGCUGCAGAACAGGACGUUGAAAAGAAACAAUAAAGCCCUCUUGGGGACUUGCAAU